rnacentral:rRNA from 1 species
UAAGUAGAUAGUGAAAUCUGGUGGCUCAACCAUUCAGACUAUUAUCUAAACUAUCUAGCUCGAGACUGUUAUGGGUAACUGGAAUUUCUAGUGUAGGAGUGAAAUCCGUAGAUAUUAGAAGGAACACCAAUAGCGUAGGCAGGUUACUGGAACAGUUCUGACACUAAGGCACGAAAGCGUAGGGAGCAAACGGGAUUAGAUACCCCGGUAGUCUACGCUGUAAACGAUGGAUACUA